AAAACAUGUCUAUUUGAAGAUAUAAAAAGUCUAGCCUGCUCACUGAAUUAUUUUUAAGAGCCGCGGUAUUUCUGACUGUGCAAAGGUAGCAUAAUCGUUAGUUUUUUAAUUGGAAUCUUGUAUGAAUGGUUUGACAAAAAAAAGACUGUCUUUAUAAUUAUUAAUUGAAUUUAACUUUUAGGUGAAAAGGCUUAAAUAAAUUAAAAAGACGAUAAGACCCUAUAAAGCUUUAUAUUAAUUUAUUAUUUAAUAAAAUUUUUAGUNNAUAAAUAUUUGGUAAUAAAUUUUAUUUUAUUGGGGUGAUAAUGGUAAAAUGAUUGAUAACUGUUAAUUUAAUUAAAACAAAAGUAAGUGAAUAAUAAUAUUUAGUAAAGGAUCCUAUUUAAAGAUUUAAAGUUUAAGUUACUUUAGGGAUAACAGCGUAAUUUUUUUUGAGAGUUCUUAUCGAGAAAAAAGUUUGCGACCUCGAUGUUGUAUCUAUAUAAUUGUAGCAGUUAUAUAAGAAGGUCUGUUCGACC
rnacentral:rRNA from 1 species